UCCGGCUUAUCACCGGCAGUCCCCUUAGAGUGCUCAACUAAAUGGUAGCAACUAAGGGCGAGGGUUGCGCUCGUUGCGGGACUUAACCCAACAUCUCACGACACGAGCUGACGACAGCCAUGCAGCACCUGUCUCCGCGCCCCUUGCGGGGACCACCCAUCUCUGGGCUUAGCACGGGAUGUCAAGGCCUGGUAAGGUUCUGCGCGUUGCGUCGAAUUAAACCACAUGCUCCACCGCUUGUGCGAGCCCCCGUCAAUUCCUUUGAGUUUUAACCUUGCGGCCGUACUCCCCAGGCGGGACACUUAACGCGUUAGCUGCAGCAGAGAAGGGCAAGCCCUCCUCCACUCAGUGUCCAUCGUUUACGGCUAGGACUAC
rnacentral:misc_RNA from 1 species